CGAAAUAUAGUUUACAAAGAACUACUCAUUUACAAUGAGAAGGAACUGCCUUAGCAGUUAAUUCGA
rnacentral:tRNA from 1 species